rnacentral:ncRNA from 1 species
AGUGAAGUAUAAUCUAGCCCAUUAUACAUACAGCCGCCAUGGCAUGAUAAGAUGUAGCCGGAGUACAGGAUGACCACCCCGUAAGCUUAUCAAUAAGUCCCACAG